rnacentral:rRNA from 1 species
UACGUAGGGGGCUAGCGUUGUCCGGAAUCAUUGGGCGUAAAGAGCGCGUAGGCGGCUGGAAUAGUCCGGUGUGAAAUCCACAGGCUUAACCUGUGAAUGCCGCUGGAAACUGUCUGGCUAGAGUCCGGAAGGGGCGAGUGGAAUUCCUGGUGUAGCGGUGAAAUGCGCAGAUAUCAGGAGGAACACCGGUGGCGAAGGCGGUUCUCUGGGCCUUACCUGACGCUGAGGAGCGAAAGCAUGGGGAGCAAACAGG